GCGGGAAUGGUGGAACCGGUAGACACGGCGAACUUAAAAUUCGCUGCUCCUUGUAGCGUGGGGGUUCGAGACCCUCUUCCCGCACCA
rnacentral:tRNA from 1 species